CGCUGAACCUUAGGAGACACCCCUCUUCCAUGAGACGCUGAACCUUAGGAGACACCCCUCUUCCAUGAGACGCUGAACCUUAGGCACGGUUACAUUCUACUAUUAAUAUAGGAAUACGUUGUUAUUUAUACUUUUUAUGUGAAAUAACCUCAGCUUUGUAUAGUGGAGGAUUUUAAUGAUAUUUAUUGUAGAUAUAUCCUCUUCUUCUGUAAUACCAACUAGACUCAGAACCCCUCAGUCUGCUCCGAUACAAUCCCUACGCUGUGGUAGGUUGGGGCCACGGCCCAUUUCAGUCUGAUUUAGUCCCCCCAGUCUGAUUUAGUCCCCAGUCUGAUUUAGUCCCCCAGUCUGAUUUAGUUCCCCCAGUCUGAUUUAGUCCCCCCAGUCUGAUUUAGUUCCCCCAGUCUGAUUUAGUCCCCCCAGUCUGAUUUAGUCCCCCCAGUCUGAUUUAUCCCCCCCCAGUCUGAUUUAGUCCCCCCAGUCUGAUUUAGUGCCCCCAGUCUGAUUUAGUCCCCCCCAGUCUGAUUUAUCCCCCCCAGUCUGAUUUAGUCCCCCCCAGUCUGAUUUAGUCCCCCAGUCUGAUUUAGUCCCCCAGUCUGAUUUAGUGCCUGGUCUUAUCCACUCUGUUCUAAUCAGUCCUGCACAGCUUGUGGUGGUGUGAAGUCAGCCAGGAUUAGGACGGAUGUUUUAGGGCAUCUAAAUAGUCAAGACAUCUCUCCUCUCCUCCAUCUUCACUGACGUGAAAAAGCUGGACAGGUGCAAGCUAAGUAAAGCCAUUUUGUUUUCACUUAAGUCUGUGUUCUCAGAUCAGUUCAGAUUAAGACUAGGAGAGGAGACUAGGAGAGAGGAAGCCACAACAGCCUAAGUAGAUGCACCCUUGGUCUCCUGGC
ensembl:lncRNA